GCAAGUCGAACGAGAAAGUGGAGCAAUCCAUGAGUAAAGUGGCGACCGGGUGAGUAACACGUGACUAACCUACCUCCGAGUGGGGAAUAACUCCGGGAAACCGGGGCUAAUACCGCAUAACAUCGCAAGAUCAAAGCAGCAAUGCGCUUGGAGAGGGGGUCGCGGCUGAUUAGCUAGUUGGCGGGGUAACGGCCCACCAAGGCGAAGAUCGGUAUCCGGCCUGAGAGGGCGCACGGACACACUGGAACUGAAACACGGUCCAGACUCCUACGGGAGGCAGCAGUGGGGAAUUUUGCGCAAUGGGGGAAACCCUGACGCAGCAACGCCGCGUGGAGGAUGAAGCCCUUUGGGGCGUAAACUCCUUUCGACUCGGACGAUAAUGACGGUACGAGUGGAAGAAGCACCGGCUAACUCUGUGCCAGCAGCCGCGGUAAUACAGAGGGUGCGAGCGUUGUUCGGAAUUAUUGGGCGUAAAGGGCGCGUAGGCGGUGCGGCAAGUCACCUGUGA
rnacentral:rRNA from 1 species